rnacentral:rRNA from 1 species
CCUACGGUGCGCAGCAGUCGAGAAUCAUUCACAAUGGGGGAAACCCUGAUGGUGCGACGCCGCGUGGGGGAAUGAAGGUCUUCGGAUUGUAAACCCCUGUCAUGUGGGAGCAAAUUAAAAAGAUAGUACCACAAGAGGAAGAGACGGCUAACUCUGUUCCAGCAGCCGCGGUAAUACAGAGUGCUCAAGCGUUGUUCGGAAUCACUGGGCGUAAAGCGUGCGUAGGCUGUUUCGUAAGUCGUGUGUGAAAGGCGCGGGCUAAACCCGCGGACGGCACAUGAUACUGCGAGACUAGAGUAAUGGAGGGGGAACCGGAAUUCUCGGUGUAGCAGUGAAAUGCGUAGAUAUCGAGAGGAACACUCGUGGCGAAGGCGGGUUCCUGGACAUUAACUGACGCUGAGGCACGAAGGCCAGGGGAGCGAAAGGGAUUAGAUACCCGGGUAGUC